UACGUAGGGUGCGAGCGUUGUCCGGAAUUAUUGGGCGUAAAGGGCUCGUAGGCGGUUUGUCACGUCGGGAGUGAAAACUCGGGGCUUAACCCCGAGCCUGCUUCCGAUACGGGCUGACUAGAGGUAUGCAGGGGAGAACGGAAUUCCUGGUGUAGCGGUGAAAUGCGCAGAUAUCAGGAGGAACACCGGUGGCGAAGGCGGAUCUCUGGGCCGAUACUGACGCUGAGGAGCGAAAGCGUGGGGAGCGAACAGG
rnacentral:rRNA from 1 species